GGACAAAGACAUUUGCUCACAGUGGAGACCCAUGCAUAAACACUUGCUAAUGUUACAUCAUGCCCCUCACACUCUUUUCUGGGCUACCACACAACCGAUUUGUAGUUUAGCUUCUUUUUCAUGCCUUGUGUCUCCUACUUGAGAUGUACAGAACCCCUGUAAUCCUCUCUUCUCUUCUUCCCCCAAACUCUGACUCCAGUGAUCAUUUUUGCUUGAGGAACCGUCAGGUGCACAUUCCAAACCUUAGACAGUGACCAUGGUUUCCCCUUGGGUUAGUUUCACCUUUAAUAUUGCAUUUUACCCGUCAGAAUACUGGAUCAACUUGUGUGGAAAGUUUUGUUUUAGGUUCUUAAAAGACAUCUUAAAAAUCCAACAUUUUUGUUACUGAAUAUGUGUGAGCUUAAGAUAAUUAAAAAUUUAAAAA
rnacentral:lncRNA from 1 species